CCUACGGGAGGCAGCAGUAAGGAAUAUUGGUCAAUGGACGCAAGUCUGAACCAGCCAUGCCGCGUGAAGGAUUAAGGCCCUCUGGGUUGUAAACUUCUUUUAUAGGGGACGAAAAAAGGGCAUUCUUGCUCACUUGACGGUACCCUAGGAAUAAGCACCGGCUAACUCCGUGCCAGCAGCCGCGGUAAUACGGAGGGUGCAAGCGUUAUCCGGAUUUACUGGGUUUAAAGGGUGCGUAGGUGGGUUGGUAAGUCAGUGGUGAAAUCUUCGAGCUUAACUCGGAAACUGCCAUUGAUACUAUCAAUCUUGAAUCAUCUAGAGGUAAGCGGAAUAUGUCAUGUAGCGGUGAAAUGCUUAGAUAUGACAUAGAACACCAAUUGCGAAGGCAGCUUACUAUGGAUGUAUUGACACUGAGGCACGAAAGCGUGGGGAUCAAACAGGAUUAGAUACCCUGGUAGUCCACGCCCUAAACGAUGGAUACUCGACAUUUGUGAUAUACUAUAAGUGUCUGAGCGAAAGUCAUUAAGUAUCCCACCUGGGAAGUACGACCGCAAGGUUGAAACUCAAAGGAAUUGAACGGCUGAGAGAGCGACGGACGACGACGAGGGAGGAGG
rnacentral:rRNA from 1 species